GGGGAUUUAGCUCAGUGGUAGAGUGCUUGCCUAGCAAGCGCAAGGUCCUGGGUUCGGUCCCCAGCUCCA
rfam:Rattus norvegicus chromosome 5, whole genome shotgun sequence.